rnacentral:rRNA from 1 species
AUUGAACGCUGGCGGCAUGCCUUACACAUGCAAGUCGAACGGCAGCGGGGACUUCGGUCCGCCGGCGAGUGGCGAACGGGUGAGUAAUGUAUCGGAACGUACCUUUCAGUGGGGGAUAACGUAGCGAAAGUUACGCUAAUACCGCAUAUUCCGUGAGCAGGAAAGCAGGGGAUCGCAAGACCUUGCGCUGAUUGAGCGGCCGAUAUCAGAUUUGCUAGUUGGAGAGGGAAAGGCUCACCAAGGCGACGAUCUGUAGCGGGUCUGAGAGGAUGAUCCGCCACACUGGAACUGAGACACGGUCCAGACUCCUACGGGAGGCAGCAGUGGGGAAUUUUGGACAGUGGGGGCAACCCUGAUCCAGCCAUGCCGCGUGAGUGAAGAAGGCCUUCGGGUUGUAAAGCUCUUUCGGCCGGGAAGAAAUCGUAUGGGUUAAUACCCUGUGCGGAUGACGGUACCGGCAUAAGAAGCACCGGCUAACUACGUGCCAGCCGCCGCAGUAAGAC